UGAGUACGAGCGGCUACGGCCGCGAAGUGGAUGAUGUCAAGCUUCCAGGAAAAGCCCUAUACCCGUUAAGGCAUGAUGGCCUGUACCCGAAACCGACACAGGUGGGGUGGUAGAGAAUACCGAGGGGCGCGAGGUAACUCUCUCUAAGGAACUCGGCAAAAUGGCCCCGUAACUUCGGGAGAAGGGGUGCCACCGCGAGGUGGUCGCAGUGAAGAGGCCCAGGCGACUGUUUACCAAAAACACAGGUCUCCGCUAAGUCGCAAGACGAUGUAUGGGGGCUGACGCCUGCCCAGUGCCGGAAGGUUAAGGAAGCUGGUCAGCGCAAGCGAAGCUGGCGACUGAAGCCCCGGUGAACGGCGGCCGUAACUAUAACGGUCCUAAGGUAGCGAAAUUCCUUGUCGGGUAAGUUCCGACCCGCACGAAAGGCGUAACGAUCUGGGCGCUGUCUCGGAGAGAGGCUCGGCGAAAUAGAAUUGUCUGUGAAGAUGCGGACUACGUGCACCCGGACAGAGAGACCCUAUGAAGCUUUACUGUAGCUUGGUAUUGUGCUCGGGCUCGGAAUGCGCAGGAUAGGUGGGAGGCUUUGAUCCAUUGCUUGCGGGUGAUGGUGAGCCACUGGUGAGAUACCACUCUUUCCGAGCUAGAGUUCUAACAGCAACCCGUUAUCCGGGUGCUGGACAGUAUCAGGUGGGCAGUUUGACUGGGGCGGUCGCCUCCUAAAAGGUAACGGAGGCGCGCAAAGGUCUGCUCAGGCUGGUUGGAAAUCAGCCGACGAGUGUAAAAGCAGAAGCAGGCUUGACUGUGAGACCUACAAGUCGAACAGGGAGGAAACUCGGCUUUAGUGAUCCGACGGUUCUGCGUGGAAGGGCCGUCGCUCAACGGAUAAAAGUUACUCUAGGAUAACAGGCUGAUCUCCCCCAAGAGUUCACAUCGACGGGGAGGUUUGGCACCUCGAUGUCGGCUCAUCGCAACCUGGGGCUGAAGUCGGUCCCAAGGGUUGGGCUGUUCGCCCAUUAAAGCGGUACGCGAGCUGGGUUCAGAACGUCGUGAGACAGUUCGGUCCAUAUCCGGUGCACGCGCAGGAAUAUUGAGAGGAUUUCUCCCUAGUACGAGAGGACCGGGAGGAACGCACCCCUGGUGUGCCAGUUAUCGUGCCAACGGUAAACGCUGGGUAGCCAUGUGCGGAGUGGAUAACCGCUGAAAGCAUCUAAGUGGGAAGCCCACCUCAAGAUGAGUAUUCCCAUGGGGUAACCCAGUAAGGUCACGGGAAGAACACCCGUUAAUAGGCUCUACGUGGAAGCGCAGUAAUGUGUGAAGCGGAGGAGUACUAAUAGACCGAGGGCUU
rnacentral:rRNA from 1 species